GUGAAUUCAUCUCCGGGGGUAGAGCACUGUUUCGGCUAGGGGGCCAUCCCGGCUUACCAACCCGAUGCAAACUGCGAAUACCGGAGAAUGUUAUCACGGGAGACACACGGCGGGUGCUAACGUCCGUCGUGAAGAGGGAAACAACCCAGACCGCCAGCUAAGGUCCCAAAGUCAUGGUUAAGUGGGAAACGAUGUGGGAAGGCCCAGACAGCCAGGAUGUUGGCUUAGAAGCAGCCAUCAUUUAAAGAAAGCGUAAUAGCUCACUGGUCGAGUCGGCCUGCGCGGAAGAUGUAACGGGGCUAAACCAU
rnacentral:rRNA from 3 species